AAAGUUAGAAGAAAUAAUCCACUAGACGGCAUGACAGUCUCUUUUUGCGCUAUACAUAUGUAUCACAUUCACAUUCCAGCAAUUAUUCUGAUAGUUUCGUCAGACUGAGAUAAUUCGAAUAACAUGCUGUUUGUGUACAUACUUUACCUUGUGUCAAAAGAUAUUAAAAUGUCUCUGAAUGUUGUUUCUUGCAGAUGAUUUUGAAUUUAGUGUUUAUUUAAAUAACAAGAUUGGUUUUUAAAAUGAAGAAAAGAUUAGUUAACAAAAUGUCAAAAUUGUCGCGUUAUUCAAUUUUUUUCUCAUGUGCGUUAGCAUUUUUUCCUGUGAUAAAAUUGACGCAUAUAAAAGAUUUUUACGAUGAAAUGAUGUAUAAGUACUCUCGUAAGAACUGUAAAAACAAUGAUGGUUACAAAUGCGGAGCGCAUUUAUAUUCAGAUCAUUACAAACUUUACAAAAGUGUUUAUUUUGAAAUGAAGAAUAAAAAACAAGACUGAAAUAUAAACUUCAAUAAAGAAGUACGUAAAUUUGUAAAAACUUCAUUAAACAGAUUAAUAUAUAAUUAACAUCAAUAAAGUUUAAUAAUUAAAAUAAAA